UUUCUAUUUCCUUCUUGCUGUAAUCUCUCUUUCUCUCAAGCUUCUCUCAUUUUGCGAUUCAUGGAUGCGCCGAGGAAGAGUAAGGCAGAUGGAGAACAGAAGGCUUCGCACAGAGUGACUCGGAGCAUGGAUCGCCAAAAUCAAAGUACGACUCAGCAAAACGGUGCUAAACCGGCUGGAAAAAUAGUCUGAGCGAGCUACAUAGAUUCGAGGGAGCGGCGUCGUUAUCAGAGUAGAGAGAGGGAUGAGAGAGAUAGAUGCCAGAGCUGGAGUUCUUCGCCGAGGAGGUAACGUAGGAGUAGCAAAGAUGAGAGUAGAGCAAGGAGGAGAGAAGAUGUUAAGGAGAAGAAGAUUGAUUACUCACGGUCAAUCAAAGGCUACAAUGAUAUGAUGAUAUGGGAAACAGUGAGGUCGGUCACAAUGCUCUCGGUGCUGGUCGUAUUUAUGCUCAAGGUGCUAAGCUUUGUGACAUAGCUCUUGCUGCCAGCAAAAUCUUCGACGGUGAAGGUUUCAAAUACGUUUCUGAAUCUUUCGAGAAAUCUACUCUGCACUUCGCCGGAAGACGUCUCUUGCUCCGACGAGGCUUAAGGAUUCUCUCAGGUCGCAGUGUCAAUGGGCAGUUAUCCUGAUAGGACCUGCUACCCCGUUACUUCCACAAAUACAAAGGAGGCUUCAGAGACUGCACAAAAGAGAUGGACUUUGAAUAAGCUCUUUAAUAGGAAAGCCUCUUGGUAGAGGGAAAUUUGGACGUGUCUAUCUAGCAAGAGAAAAGAGGGUUAGUAACUUCACAAUUUAGAGUCGUUGGAGAAGUAAUUUUGAUGUCUUUAUAACAAUUUGUAGCAACAAAGAACUUUUUUUGUUGACUUACGAUAUCUGUCUCUGUGAAAUUUCUUGUUUGUUGCAUAAAUGAGUAUACUUGAUUCUAA